CCUACGGGAGGCUGCAGUGGGGAAUAUUGGACAAUGGGCGAAAGCCUGAUCCAGCCAUGCCGCGUGUGUGAAGAAGGCCUUCGGGUUGUAAAGCACUUUCAGUGGGGAAGAAAGCCUUGGGGCUAAUACCCUCGAGGAAGGACAUCACCCACAGAAGAAGCACCGGCUAACUCCGUGCCAGCAGCCGCGGUAUACGGAGGGUGCGAGCGUUAAUCGGAAUUACUGGGCGUAAAGCGCGCGUAGGCGGUCUGAUAAGCCGGUUGUGAAAGCCCCGGGCUCAACCUGGGAACGGCAUCCGGAACUGUCAGGCUAGAGUGCAGGAGAGGAAGGUAGAAUUCCCGGUGUAGCGGUGAAAUGCGUAGAGAUCGGGAGGAAUACCAGUGGCGAAGGCGGCCUUCUGGACUGACACUGACGCUGAGGUGCGAAAGCGUGGGUAGCAAACAGGAUUAGAUACCCUAGUAGUC
rnacentral:rRNA from 1 species